GAUGUGCCCACUCGAAACAAGAUUGAUGCACAAGUCGUUCUCUAUGAGGACAAGCGACAAGGUUUUUCUAAUGUGAUGGCCAUCGAAAACAUGGGCAAAAGAAACCCUCUUGAUUGGUGGAGUUCAUAUGGUGGUCGAGCCAUUGACCUACAAAGGUUUGCAAAGAGGAUUGUUAGUCUUUGUGCAUCAUCAUCCGGUUGUGAGAGGAAUUGGAGUGCAUUUGAAUUUAUCCAUACCAAGAAAAGGAAUCGGUUACAACACCGAAUCUUGAAUGACAAUGUUUUUGUUUCAUACAACCGGAAGAACAUGGAUAGGUUUCAAAAGAGGCGUGAGAAGAUUGGUGACAAAAGCUAUGACCCUCUAAUCAUUGAUGAUUUUGAUUGGGGCAAUGAGUGGGUUGACCCAACAAUGCCUCCACCCCAAGGUGCUAGAGGGUGUCCCGAUGACAUUUCA